UACGAAGGGGGCUAGCGUUGCUCGGAAUGACUGGGCGUAAAGGGCGCGUAGGCGGAUGGCACAGUCAGAUGUGAAAUUCCCGGGCUUAACCUGGGGGCUGCAUUUGAUACGUGUGAUCUAGAGUGAGGAAGAGGGUCGUGGAAUUCCCAGUGUAGAGGUGAAAUUCGUAGAUAUUCGGAAGAACACCAGUGGCGAAGGCGACUAACUGGACACGUAUUGACGCUGAGGUACGAAAGCGUGGGGAGCAAACAGG
rnacentral:rRNA from 1 species